rfam:Triticum urartu cultivar G1812 contig1450089, whole genome shotgun sequence.
CAUCUACUCCCCCCAUUCCAAAUUACUUGUCUUGGAUUUGUCUAGAUAUGGAUGUAUCUAGACUCAUUUUAGUGCUAGAUACCUUCGUAUCUAGACGAAUCUAAGACAAGUAAUUUGGAACGGAGGGAGUAGGUC